GCCGAAGUGGCGGAAUAGGCAGACGCGCUAGGUUCAGGGUCUAGUAGGUGCAAGCCUGUGCGGGUUCAAAUCCCGCCUUCGGCA
rnacentral:tRNA from 1 species